GCGGCUUCCGCUCGGUGGUUCCUUCCCGCACGCAGCUACGGGUUUCGGUGCUGCGCCGGUUAAGCCGGCACCAGAAACAACCUGCGACCCCACCUGGCGUGCGUCUUCCAGCACAGGGAAACGGGAUGGAAGUCAGAAGGGUCGACCACAAGGAGCUCUUACUGUGCAUCAGUUCAUCCUGCAAGUCCGCCACAUUUAGCUUCCUAUGUUACUGUCCUUUGGGGAUUCUCAAGGCUUUUCACAAAACUGGCUUCCACCUUCCUCACACACAUCCUCAUCUGGAAGAAAACUGACCUCUUCACAGAAACCCCUGACACCUUACUGACCCAGGAUCUUUGUUCAGGUGGCCAAAAGAAAAAGUUCUGCAGGCCAGGCGCGGUGGCUCACUCCUGUAAUCCCAGCACUUUGGGAGGCCGAGGCGGGCGGAUCACCUGAGGUCAGGAGUUCAAGACCAGCCUGCCCAACAUGGAGAAACCCUGUCUCUACUAAAAAUACAAAAAUCAGCCGGGUGUGCUGGUGGGCGCCUGUAAUUCCAGCUACUCCGGAGGCUGAGGCGCGAGAAUCACUUGAACCUGGGAGGGGGAGGUUGCAGUGAGCAGAGACUGAGCCACUGCACUCCAGCUUGGGUGAUAGAGUGAGACUCUGUCUCAAAAACAAAACAAAACAAAUCAAACACUGCUUUGGGCUCAAAUCCCUGAUUCUCAGUGUAUGAACUUUGCAACUUUACCUCUCUGUGCCUGCUUCCUCACUUACCAGGGAAAGUUUCAGAACUGUUGCUCCUGGCAGACACUUCGUGGACACGCAUACUCACCAUGCCUCCUUCCUGCUGACAACUGGGGACUUAAGUCACAACCUGCAGACUAGCACAGAGAAAUGUCUGACUCUUCAGUUGAGUUCAACAAAUGCUUAUUGAGCACCUCCUAAGUACCAGGCACUGUUGAUACAAAGGUAAAGAAAUUUCACAUUGUUCCUUCCCUAGCAAAGCUGACAAAGGGAAAGAUGUGUGAACAAACCAUUAUAAUGUAACAUAAUAAAAUGAUGAAAAAUACAAGACAGAAUAAAAAAUACAUGAGGUUAGAGACAGCUUUGAGAUAUUGCCUGAGCACACUCGUAAGUGAAAAAUGGGAGUUUUGCAGGCAAGCAGAAGCAGGGAAAAGGAACUGAGGCAAUAGGAACACUAUGUGCGGAAGUGCCAAAAUAGAGUCCAGAGGUGAUAUUCCAGAAUCACAGGAAUUUGAACUAUGGAAUAGAACAUGCCAGGCAAGGAAUGGCAGCUAAGGAUGGCAAUUCAGGCAUGGGUCAGAUGAGGGGCCUCACCUGCCUCUUUAAAGGACUAGUGCUUUAUUCCGAAAACAAUAAGCAGCCAGUUAUGCUUAUAAAGAUCAAGAAGAAAUGUGAAAGAUGGCCUAGUGGGGCAAGAAACUGGAAGACUGGUAGAUAAAUUUUAAAAUAGGAAGUCCAGGCACAGUGGCUUAUGCCUAUAAUCCCAGCACUUUGGGUGGCUGAGGCAGGCAGAUUGCUUGAGCCCAGGAGUCCGAGACCAGCCUGAGCAACAUGGUGAAACCCAUCACUACAAAAAAAUAUAAAAAUUAGCCAAGGAUAGUGGCACAUGCCUGUAGUCCCAGCUAUUUGGGAGGCUGAAAUGGGAGGAUCGCUUGAGCCUGGGAGGUGGGGGUUUGCAGUAAGCAGAGACCAUGCCAUUGCAUUCCAGCCUGGACAACAGAGUGAGAUCCUGUCUCAAAAAAAAAAAAUUAAAAUUAAAAAUAAAAUAGUCUAGAAAAUAAAUUAGGGAGUAGGGGACUGGACUACAAUAACUGCAGUGGAGAUGGCUUCCAGAGAUAGGAGAUAACUUCAACAGGACAUAGUGGUUGAAUGGAUAUGAAGAUUGAAUAAGAGGGAAAACUGAGGGUGAGGGCAAUGACUAGGUUUGGGGCCAUGCUGGAGAGACUAGGUACAUCAUGGGCCAGCAACUGAGAGAAAAUCGGGAGCACAUAAGUCCAAGUGUAAGAAUAUGGGGUCAGGGUAGUGGAAAGAACAGUUAUUUAACUGUUUCCCCAGAAGGUAAAAACAUGCCAUAUUUUCUCAGCCUGAGAAAAAUUCAGGAUCAAGUCUGUUUCACUUGAGAAAAUCUUUCCCACAAGAACUUAUGGAUAUCAUUUUUUUUUUUUUUUCUAGAAAAAGUCUCACUCUGUCUCCCAGGCUGGAGUGCACAGGCACAAUCUCGGCUGGCUGCAGCCUCCACCUCCCAGGUUCAAGUGAUUCUUGUGCCUCAGCCUCCUGAGAUAUCUUUAAAGUUUUCUUGUUUCUUUCUUAAGAAAACUCUCCCUAUUCUAAUCUCCACUCAUAAUUCUCAAGAUGGUGUACAAAUAUUGCUAUAAAUAACUAUUCAUCAGGAAGUUCCAAGAAAGGUUCUGUUGGGCAAUAGUUGAUAUAACUCAUGAAAUAAAUAUUUACUGAACAUGUAUUAUGUGC
rnacentral:lncRNA from 1 species